GGGUGGCACAGUGGGUCAGUGCAUCCGGCUGUUGACCAAAAGAUUGGUGGUUCAAGCCCACCCAGGGAACG